UCUUUUAAAGUAAAUAAUUACAUUUAAUUUCGAAUUAAAAUUUUGAUUACAUCUAAUCUAAAAGAC
rnacentral:tRNA from 1 species